GAUGAACGCUGACAGAAUGCUUAACACAUGCAAGUCAACUUGAACUUCGGUUUGGGUGGCGGACGGGUGAGUAACGCGUAAAGAACUUGCCUCACAGCUAGGGACAACAUUUGGAAACGAAUGCUAAUACCUGAUAUUAUGAUUUUAGGGCAUCCUAGAAUUAUGAAAGCUAUAUGCGCUGUGAGAGAGCUUUGCGUCCCAUUAGCUAGUUGGAGAGGUAACGGCUCACCAAGGCGAUGAUGGGUAGCCGGCCUGAGAGGGUGAACGGCCACAAGGGGACUGAGACACGGCCAUUACCCCUACGGGAGGAAGCAGUGGGGAAUAUUGGAAAAUGGACCAAGAGUCUGAUCCAGCAAUUCUGUGUGCACGAUGAAGUUUUUCGGAAUGUAAAGUGCUUUCAGUUGGGAAGAAAAAAAUGACGGUACCAACAGAAGAAGUGACGGCUAAAUACGUG
rnacentral:rRNA from 1 species